rnacentral:rRNA from 1 species
AGCGAACGCUGGCGGCAGGCCUAACACAUGCAAGUCGAACGAAGUCUUCGGACUUAGUGGCGGACGGGUGAGUAACACGUGGGAACGUGCCCUUUGGUACGGAAUAACUCAGGGAAACUUGAGCUAAUACCGUAUGUGCCCUUCGGGGGAAAGAUUUAUCGCCAUUGGAGCGGCCCGCGUCUGAUUAGCUAGUUGGUGGUGUAAUGGACCACCAAGGCGACGAUCAGUAGCUGGUCUGAGAGGAUGAUCAGCCACAUUGGGACUGAGACACGGCCCAAACUCCUACGGGAGGCAGCAGUGGGGAAUCUUGCGCAAUGGGCGAAAGCCUGACGCAGCCAUGCCGCGUGAAUGAUGAAGGUCUUAGGAUUGUAAAAUUCUUUCACCGGGGACGAUAAUGACGGUACCCGGAGAAGAAGCCCUGGCUAACUUCGUGCCAGCCGCCGCAGUAAGAC